GGGUUGUGAGGUUAAGCGACUAAGCGUACACGGUGGAUGCCCUGGCAGUCAGAGGCGAUGAAGGACGUGCUAAUCUGCGAUAAGCGUCGGUAAGGUGAUAUGAACCGUUAUAACCGGCGAUUUCCGAAUGGGGAAACCCAGUGUGAUUCGUCACACUAUCAUUAACUGAAUCCAUAGGUUAAUGAGGCGAACCGGGGGAACUGAAACAUCUAAGUACCCCGAGGAAAAGAAAUCAACCGAGAUUCCCCAGUAGCGGCGAGCGAACGGGGAGGAGCCCAGAGCCUGAAUCAGUGUGUGUGUUAGUGGAAGCGUCUGGAAAGGCGCGCGAUACAGGGUGACAGCCCCGUACACAAAAAUGCACAUGCUGUGAGCUCGAUGAGUAGGGCGGGACACGUGGUAUCCUGUCUGAAUAUGGGGGGACCAUCCUCCAAGGCUAAAUACUCCUGACUGACCGAUAGUGAACCAGUACCGUGAGGGAAAGGCGAAAAGAACCCCGGCGAGGGGAGUGAAAAAGAACCUGAAACCGUGUACGUACAAGCAGUGGGAGCACAGAGCAAUCUGUGUGACUGCGUACCUUUUGUAUAAUGGGUCAGCGACUUAUAUUCUGUAGCAAGGUUAACCGAAUAGGGGAGCCGAAGGGAAACCGAGUCUUAACCGGGCGUUAAGUUGCAGGGUAUAGACCCGAAACCCGGUGAUCUAGCCAUGGGCAGGUUGAAGGUUGGGUAACACUAACUGGAGGACCGAACCGACUAAUGUUGAAAAAUUAGCGGAUGACUUGUGGCUGGGGGUGAAAGGCCAAUCAAACCGGGAGAUAGCUGGUUCUCCCCGAAAGCUAUUUAGGUAGCGCCUCGUGAAUUCAUCUCCGGGGGUAGAGCACUGUUUCGGCAAGGGGGUCAUCCCGACUUACCAACCCGAUGCAAACUGCGAAUACCGGAGAAUGUUAUCACGGGAGACACACGGCGGGUGCUAACGUCCGUCGUGAAGAGGGAAACAACCCAGACCGCCAGCUAAGGUCCCAAAGUCAUGGUUAAGUGGGAAACGAUGUGGGAAGGCCCAGACAGCCAGGAUGUUGGCUUAGAAGCAGCCAUCAUUUAAAGAAAGCGUAAUAGCUCACUGGUCGAGUCGGCCUGCGCGGAAGAUGUAACGGGGCUAAACCAUGCACCGAAGCUGCGGCAGCGACACUGUGUGUUGUUGGGUAGGGGAGCGUUCUGUAAGCCUGUGAAGGUGUGCUGUGAGGCAUGCUGGAGGUAUCAGAAGUGCGAAUGCUGACAUAAGUAACGAUAAAGCGGGUGAAAAGCCCGCUCGCCGGAAGACCAAGGGUUCCUGUCCAACGUUAAUCGGGGCAGGGUGAGUCGACCCCUAAGGCGAGGCCGAAAGGCGUAGUCGAUGGGAAACAGGUUAAUAUUCCUGUACUUGGUGUUACUGCGAAGGGGGGACGGAGAAGGCUAUGUUGGCCGGGCGACGGUUGUCCCGGUUUAAGCGUGUAGGCUGGUUUUCCAGGCAAAUCCGGAAAAUCAAGGCUGAGGCGUGAUGACGAGGCACUACGGUGCUGAAGCAACAAAUGCCCUGCUUCCAGGAAAAGCCUCUAAGCAUCAGGUAACAUCAAAUCGUACCCCAAACCGACACAGGUGGUCAGGUAGAGAAUACCAAGGCGCUUGAGAGAACUCGGGUGAAGGAACUAGGCAAAAUGGUGCCGUAACUUCGGGAGAAGGCACGCUGAUAUGUAGGUGAAGUCCCUCGCGGAUGGAGCUGAAAUCAGUCGAAGAUACCAGCUGGCUGCAACUGUUUAUUAAAAACACAGCACUGUGCAAACACGAAAGUGGACGUAUACGGUGUGACGCCUGCCCGGUGCCGGAAGGUUAAUUGAUGGGGUCAGCGCAAGCGAAGCUCUUGAUCGAAGCCCCGGUAAACGGCGGCCGUAACUAUAACGGUCCUAAGGUAGCGAAAUUCCUUGUCGGGUAAGUUCCGACCUGCACGAAUGGCGUAAUGAUGGCCAGGCUGUCUCCACCCGAGACUCAGUGAAAUUGAACUCGCUGUGAAGAUGCAGUGUACCCGCGGCAAGACGGAAAGACCCCGUGAACCUUUACUAUAGCUUGACACUGAACAUUGAGCCUUGAUGUGUAGGAUAGGUGGGAGGCUUUGAAGUGUGGACGCCAGUCUGCAUGGAGCCGACCUUGAAAUACCACCCUUUAAUGUUUGAUGUUCUAACGUGGACCCGUGAUCCGGGUUGCGGACAGUGUCUGGUGGGUAGUUUGACUGGGGCGGUCUCCUCCUAAAGAGUAACGGAGGAGCACGAAGGUUGGCUAAUCCUGGUCGGACAUCAGGAGGUUAGUGCAAUGGCAUAAGCCAGCUUGACUGCGAGCGUGACGGCGCGAGCAGGUGCGAAAGCAGGUCAUAGUGAUCCGGUGGUUCUGAAUGGAAGGGCCAUCGCUCAACGGAUAAAAGGUACUCCGGGGAUAACAGGCUGAUACCGCCCAAGAGUUCAUAUCGACGGCGGUGUUUGGCACCUCGAUGUCGGCUCAUCACAUCCUGGGGCUGAAGUAGGUCCCAAGGGUAUGGCUGUUCGCCAUUUAAAGUGGUACGCGAGCUGGGUUUAGAACGUCGUGAGACAGUUCGGUCCCUAUCUGCCGUGGGCGCUGGAGAACUGAGGGGGGCUGCUCCUAGUACGAGAGGACCGGAGUGGACGCAUCACUGGUGUUCGGGUUGUCAUGCCAAUGGCACUGCCCGGUAGCUAAAUGCGGAAGAGAUAAGUGCUGAAAGCAUCUAAGCACGAAACUUGCCCCGAGAUGAGUUCUCCCUGACCCUUUAAGGGUCCUGAAGGAACGUUGAAGACGACGACGUUGAUAGGCCGGGUGUGUAAGCGCAGCGAUGCGUUGAGCUAACCGGUACUAAUGAACCGUGAGGCUUAACCUUACAACGCCGAAGGUGUUU
rnacentral:rRNA from 1 species